GAUGAACGCUGGCGGCGUGCCUAAUACAUGCAAGUCGAGCGAACAGACGAGGAGCUUGCUCCUCUGACGUUAGCGGCGGACGGGUGUGUAACACGUGGAUAACCUACCUAUAAGACUGGGAUAACUUCGGGAAACCGGAGCUAAUACCGGAUAAUAUAUUGAACCGCAUGGUUCAAUAGUGAAAGUCGGUUUUGCUGUCACUUAUAGAUGGAUCCGCGCCGCAUUAGCUAGUUGGUAAGGUAACGGCUUACCAAGGCAACGAUGCGUAGCCGACCUGAGAGGGUGAGCGGCCACACUGGGACUGAGACACGCUCCAGACUCCUACGGGAGGCAGCAGUAGGGAAUCUUCCGCAAUGGGCGAAAGCCUGACGGAGCAACGCCGCGUGAGUAAUGAAGGUCUUCGGAUCGUAAAACUCUGUUAUUAGGGAAGAACAAAUGUGUAAGUAACUAUGCGCGUCUUGACGGUACCUAAUCAGAAAGCCACGGCUAACUACGUG
rnacentral:rRNA from 1 species